AUGAAGCAAAGCUUGGAGACCAAGAAUUGGCAAAGACAAAACCAGAAGUUCAUAAUGAAGAAGAAAAAUUCCUUUUCCAUCAUCAUAAGUCACUCUUCAAGAAACAUAUUCCAAUUGUGAAACCUAUUCCAGUGUAUAAGCCUAUUCCAAAACCAAUUCCAAUCGUAAAGCCUAUUUAUAAGCCAGUUCCUAUUUAUAAACCAAUUCCAAAACCCGUAAUAGUGAAAAAACCGGUCCCUAUUCCAGUAUUCAAGCCGGUUCCAAAGCCAAUUCCAAUUGUUAAGCCUAUUCCGGUUUUUAAACCUAUUCCAAAACCAAUUCCAAUUGUUAAACCUAUUUAUAAGCCGGUUCCUAUAUAUAAGCCAAUUCCAAAACCAAUAUUUGUUAAACCAUACCCUAAAAAACCUUAUUUUCCUCCACAGAAUAGUCCUUAAGUUAUUGAAACAGAAGAAAAGUGA
rnacentral:lncRNA from 1 species